AUUGAACGCUGGCGGCAUGCUUUACACAUGCAAGUCGAACGGUAACGGGCCGCAAGGUGCUGACGAGUGGCGAACGGGUGAGUAAUGCAUCGGAACGUGCCCAGUCGUGGGGGAUAACGCAGCGAAAGCUGCGCUAAUACCGCAUACGAUCUCUGGAUGAAAGCGGGGGACCGAAAGGCCUCGCGCGAUUGGAGCGGCCGAUGUCAGAUUAGGUAGUUGGUGGGGUAAAGGCCCACCAAGCCAACGAUCUGUAGCUGGUCUGAGAGGACGACCAGCCACACUGGGACUGAGACACGGCCCAGACUCCUACGGGAGGCAGCAGUGGGGAAUUUUGGACAAUGGGCGCAAGCCUGAUCCAGCAAUGCCGCGUGCAGGAAGAAGGCCUUCGGGUUGUAAACUGCUUUUGUACGGAACGAAACGGUCUGGGUUAAUACCCUGGGCUAAUGACGGUACCGUAAGAAUAAGCACCGGCUAACUACGUGCCAGCAGCCGCCGUAAUAC
rnacentral:rRNA from 1 species